GACGAACGCUGGCGGCGUGCCUAAUACAUGCAAGUCGAACGCACAGUUUAUACCGUAGCUUGCUACACCAUAGACUGUAAGUUGCGAACGGGUGAGUAACGCGUAGGUAACCUGCCUGGUAGCGGGGGAUAACUAUUGGAAACGAUAGCUAAUACCGCAUAAUAUUGAUUAUUGCAUGAUAAUUGAUUGAAAGAUGCUAUUGCAUCACUACCAGAUGGACCUGCGUUGUAUUAGCUAGUAGGUGAGGUAACGGCACACCUAGGCGACGAUACAUAGCCGACCUGAGAGGGUGAUCGGCCACACUGGGACUGAGGCACGGCCCAGACUCCUACGGGAGGCAGCAGUAGGGAAUCUUCGGCAAUGGACGAAAGUCUGACCGAGCAACGCCGCGGGAGUGAAGAAGGUUUUCGGAUCGUAAAGCUCUGUUGUAAGAGAAGAACGGGUGUGAGAGUGGAAAGUUCACACUGUGACGGUAUCUUACCAGAAAGGGACGGCUAACUACGUG
rnacentral:rRNA from 1 species